rnacentral:misc_RNA from 1 species
GGAAUAACUAGACAUGGUGUUCAGAAAAUGAAAGAUAGCGUACUGAUGUUAGCUUCAUUUGAGAAGACAACUGACCACCUGUUUAAUGCAUCUGUAAAUGGAAGGGAUGAUAAGAUAGAAGGAGUAACCGAAUGUAUCAUCAUGGGCAUACCAAUGACGAUAGGCACCGGGAUGUUUAAACUUCGGCAACGUGUUGAACAUGUUGAGCUGAAUUAUC